UACGUAGGGGGCAAGCGUUGUCCGGAUUUAUUGGGCGUAAAGAGCGUGUAGGCGGUUCAGGUAGGUCCGUUGUGAAAACUCGGAGGCUCAACCUCGAGACGCCGAUGGAAACCAUCUGACUAGAGUCCGGAAGAGGAGAGUGGAAUUCCUGGUGUAGCGGUGAAAUGCGCAGAUAUCAGGAAGAACACCCGUGGCUAAGGCGGCUCUCUAGUACGGUACUGACGCUGAGACGCGAAAGCGUGGGGAGCGAACAGG
rnacentral:rRNA from 1 species